rnacentral:snoRNA from 18 species
UUGCACGGUGCUAACCCCGGGCUUGUCGGAUUCAAAUCGCCUGAAGAAGGAAGCCCCAAUGCCUGUGCUAGAUCCACAAUACCAUUCAGUGUUGCAGGUCUUGAUGCUUCGAGCAUGUGAUUGAUCUGUGUCAGCGUAAUGGAUACAUUU